AUGCACAAGGGCUCAAUCUGGAAAUAAUCCAGGCUAUCAAAACGCAGCUCAUAUGCCCGGACUAGACUGCAAAAGCAUGCAAAUUAUAAGGGUCGAAUUCAAAAGAAAUAAAUUUGGAUUGGGCCUAAUCGAACCACUGUACAAAGGGAGAGGACCAAUCUUGGAAAUAACCCUUCACCGCGAAAACACGCGGGUCCUGAGGGUUAAAGAGCUGAAUCGGGCCGGGCUAAAGAGGAGUGGCCUGGAUGGUGUCGUUUGAGACCACUAUUAUCGGUCUAAACUGCACCGUUUCCUAAUCCCUUAUAACCUCUAAUAAAACAACCCAUUUCAGCUGAAACCCCAUUCUUUUUCUCCUUUUCCAAACCCUAAAACUUCCCUCCUGAAGCUGCCAAUUCUCCUUCCCCUAGCAGCCAACAGAUUUAGGCUGCGGAGAACGCUUUACAGCCCUUCGAUCUCCUCUUGACUUCGAUUUCGACUAAGUAAGAGGAGAUCCAUGGCAUAUCCUCCAACUGUGGUUUGUUCUCUUUCGCAGGUACGGGUGCUGUGCUGGCGUAUGGAGGCUUGGCGUGGUUGCUGGAGGCGUUGUACAGAGCGUACGGCGCUGGGGGAGGGCUGUUGCGGCGCAGGCAAGCCGCUAGGGUUUCUGUCUUGGUUUCAGUAUUUGGGUUAUACGAGUUUGGGCUAGGGCAUUGGUUAUUGGGCCAUGUAAUUGGACUGAGGGAUUGUUUGGGUCUUUGGGCUUGUAAUAGGACAUUAAUGGACUAUCAUAAUAAUUUUUAUUUUUGUUGUAAUAAUUUUGGUUUUGUAUUUACACGGGCCCGGGCCAAAAUUGGUCCUUACAAACAUACAA